rnacentral:tmRNA from 1 species
CCAUUUGCAUCCGCGCCCCGAGGCACCUAUAUUGGGUCUGCUGGCAACAGCUAUGGCGAUAAAUUGCCAUCGUAAUAAACCCAUUGGACCCGGGGGCAGUACCCGGCGCCUCCACCAAAUUUCUCCCGUCACGGCGGGAGACCAUGGGGGCGAAAUAGGAUCGACAAGGGCGUAAAGGGUGUGUUUUCGCUCGGCAUGGUACCGCCGUUAUCGGACCGACACUUAUAGUUGCCAAUGACAACCAUAAGGCUCCGGUCGCUCUCGCCGCGUAAGCGGUGCUAGCA